UGAAAUCUGGCCCCCGGGUCCGAGUUGUAAUUUGUAGAGGAUGCUUUUGGCGCGGCGCCUUCCGAGUUCCCUGGAACGGGACGCCAUAGAGGGUGAGAGCCCCGUCUGGUCGGCCGCCAAGCCUCUGUAAAGCUCCUUCGACGAGUCGAGUAGUUUGGGAAUGCUGCUCUAAAUGGGAGGUAUAUGUCUUCUAAAGCUAAAUAUUGGCCAGAGACCGAUAGCGCACAAGUAGAGUGAUCGAAAGAUGAAAAGCACUUUGAAAAGAGAGUUAAAAAGUACGUGAAAUUGUUGAAAGGGAAGCGCUUAUGACCAGACUUGGACUUGGUUGAUCAUCCUGGGUUCUCCCUGGUGCACUCUUCCAGUUCAGGCCAGCAUCAGUUCGCUGCGGGGGAUAAAAGUUUUGGGAAUGUGGCUCCCUCGGGGAGUGUUAUAGCCCAUUGCAUAAUACCCUGCUCCGGACUGAGGUUCGCGCAUCUGCAAGGAU
rnacentral:rRNA from 1 species